rnacentral:rRNA from 1 species
UACGUAGGGUGCGAGCGUUAAUCGGAAUUACUGGGCGUAAUGCGUGCGCAGGCGGCUUCCUAAGUCAGAUGUGAAAUCCCCGGGCUUAACCUGGGAACUGCGUUUGAAACUGGGAGGCUGGAGUGCGGCAGAGGGGGGUGGAAUUCCACGUGUAGCAGUGAAAUGCGUAGAUAUGUGGAGGAACACCGAUGGCGAAGGCAGCCCCCCUGGGCCUGCACUGACGCUCAUGCACGAAAGCGUGGGGAGCAAACAGG